GACGAACCGUGCGAACGUUGUUCGGAUUCACUGGGCUUAAAGGGCGCGUAGGCGGAUGGUCAAGUCGGGGGUGAAAUCUUUCAGCUUAACUGGAAAAGUGCCUCCGAUACUGAUCGUCUCGAGGGAGUAGGGGCAUGUGGAACUUCCGGUGGAGCGGUGAAAUGCGUAGAUAUCGCUUGGAACGCCAAAGGUGAAAACAGGUUGCUGGGAAUGUGCCGACGCUGAGACACGAAAGCCAGGGGAGCAAACGGG
rnacentral:rRNA from 1 species